CCUACGGGAGGCAGCAGUGAGGAAUAUUGGUCAAUGGGCGCGAGCCUGAACCAGCCAAGUAGCGUGAAGGAUGACUGCCCUACGGGUUGUAAACUUCUUUUAUAAAGGAAUAAAGUGAGGCACGUGUGCCUUUUUGCAUGUACUUUAUGAAUAAGGAUCGGCUAACUCCGUGCCAGCAGCCGCGGUAAUACGGAGGAUCCGAGCGUUAUCCGGAUUUAUUGGGGUUAAAGGGAGCGUAGGUGGGUUGUUAAGUCAGUUGUGAAAGUUGGGGGCUCAACCGUAAAAUUGCAUUUGAUACUGGCAGUCUUGAGUGCAGUUGAGGUAGGCGGAAUUCGUGGUGUAGCGGUGAAAUGCAUAGAUAUCACGAAGAACUCCGAUUGCGAAGGCAGCUUACUAAACUACAACUGACAUUGAUGCUCGAAAGUGUGGGUAUCAAACAGGAUUAGAUACCCGUGUAGUC
rnacentral:rRNA from 1 species